GUGUGUGUGUGUGUGAAUGGGUGAAUGAGAACCAGUGUAAAGCGCUUUAGAACCAUAGGGGUUAAGAAAGUGCAGACCAUUUCCCAUGCUUUUCUGUGAUAUAAUGGAUAUUCUGAUAUCCUUGGGUUAAAAAAAAAAAAAUUACAAAUUGUUAAAAGUAUUUAAAAUUAGAAGUGAAUAGAAGUAGUUAGAAGUUAGUAGUAGUUAGAAGUAGAAGUGGUAGAAGUGAAUAGAAGUAGAAGUAGUUAGAAGUAGAAGUGAAUAGCAGUAGUUAGAAUUAGAAGUAGUUAGAAGUGAAUAGAAGUAGGUAGAAGGGAACAGAAGUAGUUAGAAGUAGAAGUGAGUAGAAGUGAAUAGAAGUAGGUAGAAGGGAAUAGAAGUGGUUAGAAGUAGGUAGAAGUAGUUAGAAGUAGUAGUGAAUAGAAGUAAGAAGAAAUCGGUAGAAGUAGUCAGAAGUAGAAGUGGAUAGAAGUCGAAGUAGUUAGAAGUGAGUAGAAGUAGUUAGAUGUGGUUAAAAGUGAAUAGAAGUGAGUAGAAGUAGUUAGAUGUGGUUCGAAUUGAAUAGAAGCAGUUAGAAGUAGAAGUGAAUAAAAGUAAAUAGAAGUAGGUAGAUGUGAAUAGAACUGGUUAGAAGUAGAAGUGAAUAGAAGUAGUUAGAAAGUAGGAAUAGUUAGAAGUAAGUAGAAGUGAAUAGAAGUAGAAGUGAAUAGAAGUAGUUAGAAGUAAAUAGAAGUAGAAGUAGUUAGUAGAAGUGAGUAGAAGUGAAUAGAAGUAGAAGUGAAUAGAAGUAGAAGUGAGUAGAAGUGAGUAGAAGUAGUUAGUAGAAGUGAAUAGAAGUAGAAGUGAUGAGUAGAAGUAGAAGUGAAUAGAAGUAGAAGUGAGUAGAAUGAGUAGAAGUGAAUAGAAGUAGAAGUGAGUAGAAGUAGAAGUAGUUAGAAGAAGUGAUUAGAUGGCAAGAUGUUGGACCUAAUGAUUAAAAUAAUUUGCUUGUAUGUGUGUUUUAGUGGCGCUCUGCUGCACUGUUGUACCGGCAGUAAUGCACAGACCUGUGUUCGUCAGGAGGCGUAUGGUAGAAAUACCUUCCAGAAUCAUGAUAUAUUUCAUAUCUCUCGCCCUCACACCUGGAAGCGAGUUGCACUUGUAUCCUCACAUGUAGAUAAUCCCUAAAUGUCCUGGCGCAGAGCUUCAGAACCUCCUCCUGGACUCUGUCAUGGUCAGAUUGACAGCUUUGUGCUGGGCCUGUCUCUGUGAUGAAGACGGAGACUGCUCGCUCCUCUGAGCGUGUUCCUGGAGCUCGGCGGUUCACGCCGGAGUGCUUUAGUUCUCUCGUUAAACCCCAGACGUCGCCUGAGCGGCGUAAACGUCAGUCCCCUGCCCCGCGUGACCCUGUAAGGCGCACGAGCGCGCCGAGCCGAGAUGUGGUGGAAGAGCCGCUGUAUUCUUUACUAGCUCUGGAACCGGAGCCUUGGCUUCUCGCGGCAGGUUAUACGGACACGACGCAGAGUCUCGGAGAGACUUUAUUGUACUUUUGUGUCCCGGAGCGCAUGCCUUGGUCUACUUCCUCUGACUAAAAAAAAUUUUUUUUUUUAAAUAAACGUGAUAUUUAAAAAUAUAUAUAUAUUUUGGAUGAUGC
ensembl:lncRNA